GUGAGGAAUAUUGGUCAAUGGGCGGGAGCCUGAACCAGCCAAGUCGCGUGAAGGAAGAAGGAUCUAUGGUUCGUAAACUUCUUUUGCAGGGGAAUAAAGUGCAGGACGUGUCCUGUUUUGUAUGUACCCUGAGAAUAAGGAUCGGCUAACUCCGUGCCAGCAGCCGCGGUAAUACGGAGGAUCCGAGCGUUAUCCGGAUUUAUUGGGUUUAAAGGGUGCGUAGGUGGUUUGAUAAGUCAGCGGUGAAAGUUUGCAGCUUAACUGUAAAAAUGCCGUUGAAACUGUCGGACUAGAGUGUAAAUGAGGUAGGCGGAAUGCGUGGUGUAGCGGUGAAAUGCAUAUAUAUCACGCAGAACUCCGAUUGCGAAGGCAGCUUACUAAGCUACAACUGACACUGAAGCACGAAAGCGUGGGGAUCAAACAGGAUUAGAUACCCUAGUAGUCC
rnacentral:rRNA from 1 species